GAUGAACGCUGGCGGCGUGCCUAAUACAUGCAAGUCGAGCGAAGCGGGGACGGGUGAGUAAUACGUGGAUAACCUCCUAUAAGACUGGGUUAACUCUGGGAAAGCGGAGCUAAACCGGUAACUGACAGAUGGAUCUGCGCUGCAUUAGCUAGUUGGUAAGGUAACGGCUUACCAAGGCAACGAUGCAUAGCCGACCUGAGAGGGUGAUCGGCCACACUGGAACUGAGACACGGUCCAGACUCCUACGGGAGGCAGCAGUAGGGAAUCUUCCGCAAUGGGCGAAAGCCUGACGGAGCAACGCCGCGUGUGUGAUGAAGGUCUUCGGAUCGUAAAGCUCUGUUAGUAGGGAAGCGGUACCUAAACAGAAAGCCACGGCUAACUACGUGCCAGCAGCCGCGGUAAUUC
rnacentral:rRNA from 1 species